rnacentral:rRNA from 1 species
UACGUAGGGUGCAAGCGUUGUCCGGAAUUAUUGGGCGUAAAGAGCUCGUAGGCGGCUUGUCACGUCGGCUGUGAAAACCCGGGGCUCAACCCCGGGCCUGCAGUCGAUACGGGCAAGCUAGAGUUCGGCAGGGGAGACUGGAAUUCCUGGUGUAGCGGUGAAAUGCGCAGAUAUCAGGAGGAACACCGAUGGCGAAGGCAGAUCUCUGGGCCGUAACUGACGCUGAGGAGCGAAAGCAUGGGGAGCGAACAGG